UACGAAGGGGGCUAGCGUUGCCCGGAAUGACUGGGCGUAAAGGGCGCGUAGGCGGUUCGUACAGUCAGGCGUGAAAUCCCUCGGCUUAACCGGGGAACUGCGUCUGAUACUGGAUGGCUAGAGUUUGGGAGAGGGAUGCGGAAUUCCAGGUGUAGCGGUGAAAUGCGUAGAUAUCUGGAGGAGCACCGGUGGCGAAGGCGGCAUCCUGGACCAACACUGACGCUAAGGAGCGAAAGCCAGGGGAGCAAACGGG
rnacentral:rRNA from 1 species